rnacentral:rRNA from 1 species
GACGGAGGAUGCAAGUGUUAUCCGGAAUCACUGGGCGUAAAGCGUCUGUAGGUGGUUAAAUAAGUCAACUGUUAAAUCUUGAGGCUCAACUUCAAAAUCGCAGUCGAAACUAUUAGACUAGAGUAUAGUAGGGGUAAAGGGAAUUUCCAGUGGAGCGGUGAAAUGCGUAGAUAUUGGAAAGAACACCAAUGGCGAAAGCACUUUACUGGGCUAUUACUGACACUGAGAGACGAAAGCUAGGGUAGCAAAUGGG